ACAUGAAUCUAAUAUCUUAUUAUACUUUAUUAAUCUACUCAAAAUUACUUGCACAUUACUAAAAUUUCAUUCCGACAAUGUAUCAAGCGCCUGAAUAAGUGACAUUAAAGUAAACAUAUAUCAGAGAGGAAAUAAGAAGAACUGACGCCUAUGGUCUUCUAUGUUACAGAGCUAGUGCUACACCAUACGGCCAAAUGCCGAAAAUGGCUAGGAUAUCCCAGAGAGAGUAGUGCUGCACCAUGCAGCCAAAUGCUAAUAGACGAAUAUGCGGCUGCUUCUGUUCCAAAUAUCUCCGUUACUGUGCCUGUUGACGGAAAUCGGCGCGGCUGGGAUCGGUAAAGCAUGUCAGAUCCUGCCAUACGCGACCGAUUCCUGGAAUCACCCAUCAUGGCCACGGCUCGACUCUUCCGCGUUCGAAGUUCGCAGCGUGACCGGAGUUGGUCAUCUCAAUCCCUUGUUUAAUUGUUGAUUUUUUUAAAUCUUUGUUUAUUAAUUCCAGGUUUUUUACAUAUUUUUUUUUUUUUU